GAAUGUGGCUUCAGGCUUGGCCGUUUCCUCUAUGUUUAGUUAGUAAUUAUCAAACACUUUUGUGUGGGUGCGGAUCGGGCGACCGGACUGCCUAGAAUCUCUGCUGCUUGCGCCCCAUAAAGGAAGCGGAUGAGCAUCACGUGACCACAGGCGGCAAGCUCCGUUAGGAAAAGAUGUGAAGGCUAUCCUGUCAGUCACCAUGUAGCUGAAGGUGACCUUGAACUUCUAAUCCUCCUGGCUCCGCUCCCCAUUUCUGUGAUUACAGGCUUGGGCCACUACAUCCCAUUUAAUGCUGGGAUUAUGGGCGUGCACCUCCUGGCUUUUCUCUUCAUUCUUCAAGGAAUGCCCAUACUGGUCUGCAGAGAGGCUGGUCAAGUUACAUCCAUCACUAUAGUGGUCUUGCUUUGUAUCCCUGGAUGGUUGGAACCCAUUCUAUAGCCCAGGUUCUGGAUAUCAAUCUUUUGCUCAGUAGAUCGGGGGUAACAUUUUUUUCUCCCACUUUGAAACUUGUCUCUUCACUCUAGUAACGGUUUUCAUGGCUAUGCAUAAACAUUUUAAUUUCAUGUGGAUCAUGCUCAGGACAAAACAAAUGUUCAGGAUGGACUGGACCAGUCGCUACUCCUUAUGGAGCCUGUCGCUCACACCAUAAAGGAGGAAAUCAGGAGGGCUAUUUUGGGCAGUUCUAAGAUGCUCCAAGGACUGAGCAGGUCUCUCCUCCGAGACAGGACAUGGGAGAAAAUAGCUUCUUUGGGGGAUGUGAGAGAGAAAGUCUCCAGAUUUGGAGAUCACUGGAGAACAUUCAAACCAUCUUAGCAGCUGGCUCUGUGGUCCAGUGUUGCCUGGCGCUUAAGAGGCGCUUGGGUUUCAUCCCCGGCACUAGAGAAGCCGGUGUCAGAGAAGAGGAUGGCUCUGUGUAAACAGAGAAGGCAUUUCUACAAGCUAAACAAACCACGAGUCCUCACACCCUCGUAACUAUCUCAUGGUGAUCCAGGAUCCAGAGACUGUCAGAAGCAUCGUGUCGCUGAUGGAGACACAACCCAGAACACCCACAGGCCAUUCUCAUCCAAUUUACCCCAGAAAUGCAACUCUCUCUGACCGUGGGACAAGGUUAAAGGGUUUUGUUUUGUUUUUCUUUUUUUUUCUUUCAGUAGUUAACCACCAGAUUUGAACAAAAAAAAACCAUUUAGUGUUU